UAGAAAGACAAGCUUUUCCCCAUACUACCUAUGAGAAAAAUUUAAGAGUAAAAUUCAGUUCCCCUUAUCAUCGUGAGGAUCACGUAUGCAGAUUUAUCUUUGAUAAGAAUGACACUGCCAAUGCUAUAUGUGUCAUUAAGAACUUGGGAGGACCUACUCAUCAAAUUGUACAGA